rnacentral:rRNA from 1 species
ACUCCUACGGGAGGCAGCAGUGAGGAAUAUUGGACAAUGGGUGGAAGCCUGAUCCAGCCAUCCCGCGUGAAGGAUGACGGUCCUAUGGAUUGUAAACUUCUUUUGUACAGGAAUAAACCACCUUACGAGUAGGGUGUUGAAGGUACUGUAUGAAUAAGCACCGGCCAACUCCGUGCCAGCAGCCGCGGUAAU